ACUGGGUGCCUCACGUGCCCUGCGCAGGCAGGGGCAUGACACUUCUAGUCUCCUCAACCUAGGUUGUCCAUAGCCUAAAUAGGUGUUGCCCAAGGUGACAAGCCAAGAGGGGGGGUGAAUUGGUUUUUCUAAAUUUUUGCUAUCUUACUUUAGUCAAUUGAUGAGUGAGUGAAAUUAAACUAAUACACAAUACAAACACACAAGAAGUAUAGUAGUUCGGUGCUCUCCUAAGCGCCUACGUCCACUCUCCAAGCGAUCCCUUGGGAAUUCACUAUAAUCCCACGGAUUACAGUUGGAUUGUUUUCAGGGCUCACAAUCCAAAAACCUUUACACUUUGGUUUUUCGGGAUCACCAAGAACCUAUGUUGGUUUUACGGGCUCACCAACGAACCUUCACAAUUGGUUUUACGGGUUCACCAAUAAACCUACACCGUUGGUUUUGCGAGCUCACCAACAAACCUUUACAAGGUGAUUAAUAAAAAAAAGAAGAAAGUUGAAGCUCCUAGAUGAGCAAAUAUAACAAUUAUAAGCUACAAAGAAAAGUUUAGAAUAUAGUUAUCGCUUGAUGAAACUUCUCUCUUCUUUGUCAAGAAUGCUUUAUUUUUCAAGGGUGGAUGGAGCUCUUAAUAUCUCUUGGAAUCUGCUCAACCACUUCCUUUUGACUCUUUGAAUUAAGCACUUGGAUCAAGAAGAUUAGGGCACUUGUCUUUCUUGUGUAAGCUUUGAUAUUUUUGCAAAAGGAUAUUUUCACUGAUGAAUAGUGUCCCUUUAAAUAGUUUUCCUCACCCAUUGGACACCCCCAUUGGUCAGAUUUCAAAAACUAGCCGUUACUUACUGUUGGGAGGACAAAAAGUACUUUUGCAGAACUAGCCGUUAUGCUUCUGCCCGUACUUGGGUCGACUCAACUUUUCUGGGGUCGACCCAACUUUCACUUGAGUCGACUCAUGCAACAUUGGGGUCGACCCUCUCAGGAAACACAGAACCUUGUAUUUCAGCCUUCCUUCACUUGGGUCGACUCAACACUUUUUGGGUUGACUCAAGGUUCAGUUGGGUCGACUCAAAUUCCACUUGGGUCGACCCUCUCAGAGAUUCCAGAGAACUGAUUUUUGAAUGACAUAGCCUUUGGGUCGACUCAUGUUCAGUUGGGGUCGACUCAGGGUUGGGUCGACUCAAGUUCCAUUUGGGUCGACCCUCUCAGGGAUUGCAGAGACUUGUUUUCUUGAGGCUUGAAGAUGGGGUCGACUCAACUUUCACUUGGGUCGACCCAAGUACUGUUCAUCCGUGCUAUUUUUGCAGAAGUGUGCCAGAUGGUUCCUUGAUGUGCCGGGGUCAACUCCACCAAUCUUGUGGUCGACUCAAUCCAUACUUUGCUGCUACUUAAGGUUAGAUUCAUCCAUAUAAUCAAUGAAAUAAACUUCAAAUAAUUUUGAAUAUAUGUCAUGGUGGUGCUACAUACUUUAAACAAUGAAAAUUACUAUUGUCCACUUAAGAGUACGUUUCACUUGAAACUUUGCCGAAUUGGAAUUUUGAAUUCACUAUCCCUUUUCUAUCGCAAAUUUUAUCUCAUUUUUAAUCAUUAAAAUACAUCUUGAUCUCAUUCUACUAAUGUACCGAGAGUGACGAACUUAGUAAU
rnacentral:lncRNA from 1 species